rnacentral:rRNA from 1 species
UACGUAGGUGGCAAGCGUUGUCCGAAUUUACUGGGCGUAAAGAGCGCGCAGGCGGUCGUUCAAGUCGCGUGUGAAAGCCCCCGGCUCAACUGGGGAGGGUCACGCGAUACUGAUCGACUGGAAGGCAGGAGAGGGUAGUGGAAUUCCCGGUGUAGUGGUGAAAUGCGUAGAUAUCGGGAGGAACACCAGUGGCGAAGGCGACUACCUGGCCUGUUCUUGACGCUGAGGCGCGAAAGCUAGGGGAGCAAACGGG